AUUCUUUCGCAGUGGCAAUAUCGUAACCUAUGAGGUUAAUCUGAGGUGCGAUUAUUGCUGGUUGAAAACUUUAACCCAAUACCCGCCUUCAUGAUUUGAAAUAUAGUCAGCAAUGGCAAUUUUUGCCGGUCUCUACGGAGA
ensembl:snRNA U4 U4 spliceosomal RNA